rnacentral:rRNA from 1 species
AUUGAACGCUGGCGGCAUGCUUUACACAUGCAAGUCGGACGAGUGGCGAACGGGUGAGUAAUAUAUUGGAACGUACCGAGUAAUGGGGGAUAACCAAUCGAAAGAUUGGCUAAUACCGCAUAGUAUUAGAGCGGCCAAUAUCUGAUGAGCUAGUUGGUGGGGUAAAGGCCUACCAAGGCGAAGAUCAGUAGCGGGUCUGAGAGGAUGAUACAGCACACGUGGACUGUGAAACGGCCCAUACUCCUACGGGAGGCAGCAUUGGGGAAUUUUGGACAAUGGGCGCAAGCCUGAUCCAGCCAUGCCGCGUGUCUGAAGAAGUCUUUCGGGUUUUAAAGGACUUUUGUUAGUGAAGCGGUACCUAAAGAAUAAGCACCGGCUAACUACGUGCCAGCAGCCGCGGUAAUUC